rnacentral:lncRNA from 1 species
UAUAGGAAAGGUUUGGUUUCAAGUCUCAUCUCCCAGAUGAGAAGAAGGGUGAGAGGUCUGGUGCUUCGUGCUCAAGCUCGAAGGUCGAAUCUUCCUUGCAUGGAUAAGCUCAGGGAUGAGCUUUCUUAAGAGAAUUGAGAUUGGGUACUUGCAUCUGAGGAAUCUCGGCAACAUUGGAAUGGUUUCAAGGGAUUGAGAUUGAUAGAACUUCAGAAUGGCAAUAAUGCACUGAACCUCAGGAAAGAUCCAAGAUUUUGGUCAAUUUUUGGAAGAAGCUUUAGCUUUGUUUAAAAGAAGUGGUUGCUAAAGUUUUGAUCCAAAACUGUUUCAUUCAGUUAUCUAAAAUUCUGCCCUUUGUUUUUUCUUU